GCAGCAAGGUAGCAAGCGCCAGAAUCCCCAGGAGCUUACAUAAGUAAGUGACUGGGGUGAGGGCGUGAAGCUAACGCCGCUGCGGCCUGAAAGACGACGGGUAUGUGACGCUGACCUACGCGGAAACCCGCCGUCUGUAUGGUAAAGAGGUUUACCAUCGCCCGUCGCGCUUUAUCGGCGAGCUGCCGGAAGAGUGUGUGGAAGAGGUGCGCCUGCGCGCCACGGUAAGCCGCCCGGUCAGCCAUCAGCGGAUGGGCGCGCUGAUUCUCACUACUGAAUUUUUGCAAAAAGUGAUUAGCUAACACGGAAAUAUCUUCCCGGCGAUCGCGCAGAGGCGGCAGUAUUAAAUGAAUAACGUUAAGGCGAUAAAAGAGAUCUUCACGGAAGGUGCCUUCUUUUACCAUUGCCUGCAAGUCGCGGUUGGUGGCAGCAAUGAUGCGGAUAUCGUAAAGGCUUCGGUCGCCGUCGCGCAGCCGGGGCAGACGGUCAUGCCGUAGCCCACCGCACGGCGGAUCACUUCACUAUGGAUAUUGGGCGUAACGAUGAGCUGACAGCCCAUCCUGGCGAGCGCAUCGACCUGUUCAGGUUUCAGUACCGUACCUGCGCCAAUCAACGCCUUGUCGCCAUACGCAUCAACGAUGGCGGGAAUGCUUUGCAGCUCUUGAUCGAAGCCCCGGUAAACGGCGGCCGUAACUAUAACGGUCCUAAGGUAGCGAAAUUCCUUGUCGGGUAAGUUCCGACCUGCACGAAUGGCGUAAUGAUGGCCAGGCUGUCUCCACCCGAGACUCAGUGAAAUUGAACUCGCUGUGAAGAUGCAGUGUACCCGCGGCAAGACGGAAAGACCCCGUGAACCUUUACUAUAGCUUGACACUGAACAUUGCGCCUUGAUGUGUAGGAUAGGUGGGAGGCUUUGAAGUGUGGACGCCAGUCUGCAUGGAGCCGACCUUGAAAUACCACCCUUUAAUGUUUGAUGUUCUAACGUUGACCCGUAAUCCGGGUUGCGGACAGUGUCUGGUGGGUAGUUUGACUGGGGCGGUCUCCUCCUAAAGAGUAACGGAGGAGCACGAAGGUUGGCUAAUCCUGGUCGGACAUCAGGAGGUUAGUGCAAUGGCAUAAGCCAGCUUGACUGCGAGCGUGACGGCGCGAGCAGGUGCGAAAGCAGGUCAUAGUGAUCCGGUGGUUCUGAAUGGAAGGGCCAUCGCUCAACGGAUAAAAGGUACUCCGGGGAUAACAGGCUGAUACCGCCCAAGAGUUCAUAUCGACGGCGGUGUUUGGCACCUCGAUGUCGGCUCAUCACAUCCUGGGGCUGAAGUAGGUCCCAAGGGUAUGGCUGUUCGCCAUUUAAAGUGGUACGCGAGCUGGGUUUAGAACGUCGUGAGACAGUUCGGUCCCUAUCUGCCGUGGGCGCUGGAGAACUGAGGGGGGCUGCUCCUAGUACGAGAGGACCGGAGUGGACGCAUCACUGGUGUUCGGGUUGUCAUGCCAAUGGCACUGCCCGGUAGCUAAAUGCGGAAGAGAUAAGUGCUGAAAGCAUCUAAGCACGAAACUUGCCCCGAGAUGAGUUCUCCCUGACUCCUUGAGAGUCCUGAAGGAACGUUGAAGACGACGACGUUGAUAGGCCGGAAAAAGAAGUUAGCCCGGCAAUUCGCGCCAGUGCACAAGGGAUGUUCCUGAUGAUGACU
rnacentral:rRNA from 1 species